rnacentral:lncRNA from 1 species
CAGGUCUAGUAUGCGAAACAUGUCAUCCAAGCUUAGAAAAUCGAAUGGGUUUUAACAGGUCUGGAAUCAAAUGAGCUUUCAGUUACUGUUUUUUCAUCUUCUUCUCUAGAUCGGUAAUUUCGGUUAACAACCGACGCCAAACCGAUAUUUUCAGCAACCGACUGGUCGGGAUACCGACUUUUCGGAUCGGUUACGGUUUGGAAAUCUCUAUACCAAAGAAGAUUGGCUAGGUAGCUGGUUUGGAACUAAAGAGUCGGUUACCGUACCUGACACGACCCACCCCGAAUUUCACGUCCAACGCUCACGUCACACCAUAAUGCGGCUAUAUGCUACGCCAUUAAGGUGGACAGACACAUAUGGCUAGCUAGCAUUUAUAUACAUACUCUCUCAUAAAUACAUAUUUAUAUCCACCGAAAAUCCCAUUUUCGGUAACUCUCCAAGAGAAAUAAAAAUCGUCAAAUUAAAAUGACGUUAAAAUAUUCCGCAACAUUAAUUGUUCAACCAUGAACUAUAGCAUGCAUUUAUUUAAAAUAAACGUCCACUCACAAAUUAGGCCUAAGCCUGAUGUCGAUCUGGGGCCUCGUCUGCUCGAGCCUCCUCACGUCCUAGCUCAAGAGGGAGUGAGCUGAUUGGAGGGGUUGCUGCACGGGAGGAGGGCUACAAAACGAGCCAAGGAUCGCCGGUUUUGGUGGCCGGAGGAGGGAGUUCCGACGACCGGAAGUUCGGGGCAGUUUAACCUUUCGGGCGGCACCGCUCUCUCACGGCGGCGCUAGGGGGGCUGUCACCGGUCUAGAACGGUAGCUGGGUUGGAGACCGAUCGAUUGGGUCCGGUGCGGUAGUCUGGGGCGGCCGAACGGCGGCGGUCGGGCGGUCGGAAUUCCGGCAGGGAAAGGCUCGGGUGCGGGAGAGGAGAGAGAGAAUCGGGAGGGAGAGAGAAAUUUUUGGGCUUAGCCCAACCGGUUCCAACCCAUAUAUACCCAAUCCAAAUUUCAACACCCCAAAAAUAAUACCCCAAUAAAAAUUACCUUUUACUAGCAAAAAUUUACCAUUUUUACCGUCGUCAUAUUUUCUCCCACGAAUAAUUCCCCGAAAUUAAUCGUCCCUUAAAAUAUCUCUAGGGACCAUUUAAACUAUUACCUCAAUGACAGGGACGGUAAAAUUCUUAUUAUAAUCAAGCUAGUAAAUAAGGUAAAAAUUUAAGGGUCGGGAUGUGACAAUCCUCCCCUCCUUAUAAAAAUUUCGUUCUCGAAAUUGACAUACCUGUCAUCCGAAGAGAUAGGGAUACUGCUGCAUCAUUUGCUCCUCUGAUUCCCAAGUAGCUUCUUCUACUUGAUGACUCCUCCAAAGCACCUUGACAAGCGGGAUUGUCUUGUUCCUAAGCACUUGCUCCUUCCGGUCGAGAAUCUGAACCGGUUCCUCUUCAUAGGUCAAAUUCCUCGUCAAACUAAUCGGCUGCUCUUGCAGCACAUGAGAAGGAUCGGCAAUAUACUUGCGAAGCAUGGAUACAUGAAACACAUUAUGUAUCCUAGUUAACUCUGGAGGCAAGGCUAAUCGAUAAGCAAGUGAGCCAACUCGCUCUAUUAUCUCAUAAGGGCCAAUAUACCUCGGGCUAAGCUUCCCACGCUUCCCGAAACGCAUAACCCCUUUCCAAGGAGAUAAUUUCAAGAACACCCAAUCACCCACUUGAAAUUCAAGAUCUCUCCUACGGACAUCUGCAUAACUCUUCUGCCUACUUUGAUCAGUCUUGAGUCUAUCUUUAACCACUUUAAUCUUCUCAUUCGUAACAUGGAUUAACUCUGGGCCACAAAGCUCUUUUUCCCCUACUUCAUUCCAACACAAAGGCGUACGACACUGCCUCCCAUAAAGAGCCUCAAAGGGAGCCAUACCAAUGCUAGAAUGAUAGCUAUUAUUAUAGGCAAAUUCCAUCAAAGAUAGAUUUUUAUCCCAACUACCUCUGAACUGCAUGGCACAAGCCCUCAACAUAUCCUCCAAAGUCUGAAUAGUCCUCUCGGACUGCCCAUCAGUCUGAGGAUGAAAAGCAGUGCUGAAGAGUAAUUGGGUACCUAAAGCUGCCUGAAGAGCUCUCCAGAAUUUAGAAGCAAAUCGAGGAUCCCGAUCUGACACUAUUGAUUCAGGAACACCAUGAAGCCUCACAAUUUCAUUCACAUAAAGCUCCGCCAAUUUAUCCAAUUUAUACUUCUUUCCCACUGGCAAGAAAUGUGCAGACUUGGUGAGUCUAUCCACAAUCACCCAAAUACCAUCAUGCCCUUCACGGGUACGAGGUAAACUAAAAACAAAAUCCAUGGUGAUGUGGUCCCACUUCCACACUGGAAUAGGCAACGGCUCAAACAACCCAGAAGGCUUCUGCCUUUCAGCCUUGACUUGCUGACAAAUCAGACAUCUACUCACAUAAGCUGCAAUUUCCCUCUUCAUGUUUGGCCACUAAUAAUAAUCCUUCAAAAUCCGAUACAUUUUUGUGCUACCCGGAUGAGCAGCAUAUGCAGAGCUAUGAGCUUCCUCCAUAAUCUCACUCUUCAACUCUUCAUUUCUUUUUGGAACACAUAGCCGGUUCUUAAACAAUAGAGUCCCAUCUCUUCUAACUGAAAAAUGAUCGGCUGCGGCUCCAUUCGAAGCUCUUUCCAUCAAUCGAACUAUGGAAGGAUCAUUAUACUGUGCUUCCCGCACUCUAUCAACCAAAACUGGCCUCACAUGAAAACUGGCUAUCAAAGCACCAACCUCAUCCACUGCUAAAUCCACUCCUGUAGCUCGCAACUCACAAAGAAGCGGAACACGAACCAUCUUUAUAUGAGAUAAAGAUAUGGAGGGAUUUCGACUAAGAGCAUCAGCUACCACAUUAGCUUUUCCAGGAUGAUACUCAAUAGUGCAAUCAUAAUCAUUGAUUAACUUCAUCCAUCUUCUCUGUCUCAUAUUAAGCUCUCUUUGAGUGAACACAUACCGAAGACUCUUGUGAUCGGUAAAUAUCUGACACCUGGCUCCAUAAAGAUAGUGUCUCCACAACUUGAGAGCAAAAACUACUGCUGCAAGCUCCAGAUCAUGAGUAGGAUAAUUCCCCUCAUGCGGCUUCAAUUGCCUAGAAGCGUAGGCAAUAACUCGAUCAUGCUGCAUCAAAACUCCUCCUAGACCCCGUCUAGAAGCAUCACAAUAGACCACAUAUUCUCCACUAUCAUCCGGAAGUGCCAAAACAGGAGCACUUGUCAAGCAAUUCUUCAAUUCUUGAAAACUUUGCUCGCAUUGAUCUGACCAUUCAAACUUAACCCCCUUCCUGGUCAACUUUGUGAGAGGAGCAGCAAUCUUUGAAAAAUCUUUCACAAAGCGCCGAUAAUAACCUGCUAAUCCCAAGAAACUACGAAUCUCCGUCACAGUGGUGGGUCUUCUCUAAUUCCACACUGCUUCCACCUUUUGGGGAUCCACACUAACUCCUUCUGCAGAAAUCACAUGACCCAAAAACCCCAUUUUAUCUAGCCAAAACUCACACUUGCUAAACUUAGCAAAUAACUGCGACUUUUCCAAAGUCCGCAAUAUUAUUCUUAGAUGCUUGGCAUGCUCCUUCUCACUUCUUGAGUAAACCAAUAUGUCAUCUAUGAAUACGAUCACGAAACGAUCAAGGUAUGGACUAAACACCCUAUUCAUGAGAUCCAUGAACGCCGCGGGUGCAUUAGUAAGUCCAAAUGGCAUCACCACAAACUCAUAAUGACCAUAUCGUGACCGAAAAGCAGUCUUGGCUAUGUCCCCCUCUCAGAUCCGCAACUGAUGAUAACCCGAUCUCAAAUCAAUUUUAGAGAAAACAGAGGCACCCCUCAACUGAUCAAACAAANNNNNNNNNNNNNNNNNNNNUACCAACUCCUGCAAUUAAGUCUUCAACNCUUUCAAUUCCGCUGGAGCCAUUCUGUAAGGUGCCUGAGAGAUCGGCAUAGUUCCAGGAAGUAAUUCUAUAGAGAAGUCUAUCUCCCUUGCAGGAGGCAAACCAGGCAACUCCUCAGGAAAAACAUCUGGAAACUCCCUUACUACUGGAAUAUCUUCUAAUCCCACAACUCCCAUACUUGUAUCCACCACAUGAGCUAAAUAUGCCUGACAGCCUUUACUCAACAAUUUCCUUGCAGCAACAGCGGAAAUUAUGCAACUAGAAAUAACAUCUCUUUCCCCUUGGAAAGCAACCUCAAAACCAUCUGGACUUCGAAGCACCACUACUUUCUGAAAACAAUCUACCAUAGCUCUAUAUGCUUCCAAAAAGUCCAUUCCUAAGAUCACAUCAAACUCCACUAUAUCUAGAGGAAUUAAAUUAGCCUCAAAAUUAACUCCUUCCACUAAAAUUUCACAACCACUAAACACCCAAUUUAUUCUCAUCACCUCACCGGAUGGUAGAGACACAUGCCACUCGCCUGGAAGAGACGAUGAUGGCACAUUGGCAUGAAGGGCAAAUCUACUAGACAUGAAUGAAUGCGUGGCUCCGGGAUCAAUUAAAGUAAAAGCAGGCUGACCGAAAAUUAAUAACGUACCAAUGAUGACAUCUGGAGAAGUACGACCCUCCUGCUGGGUCAUAGCAUGCAGUCUAGCGCGAGUCAUGGGACGUCCACGCUGACCACUUCCCCGCUGAGAGCCACCUCUAACCGAAGCACUGCCCUGGGCACCACUACUAGAGCCUCCAGCUGAAGACUGACCAACAGGCUCAGUAGGGGUGGGAGUGGUCCUCUGAGCCAACAAUGGGCAAUCUCUCCUGAAGUGGUCCUGACCACCACACUCAAAGCACCCAGAAAACUGCUGCUGCUGCCCAUAUGAAAAAGUCUGGCUACCGGAUGACCCACCAUGGAAACUGCCACCCGAACCACACUGCCCAGACUGCUGCCUACCCAACUGACUCCUAGCAGGUCUCCUGUGACGUCCUCUAACCCUGAACCGAGAAUUAGAACCUGAUCCCCCACUACUGCCACUACCAGCUGAUGAACUUGAAGCGGAUGAUGAAGCAGCUUUCUUGGAUGGACCCUGACUGGGGCCACCGAAAUCUCGUGGCCGAGCACUAUAAAUCCCCAUAGACUCAAUGGCCAUGGCUGCAUGAACAGCGUCAGAGAAAGUCGGGUAAUAAACACCCGUCAUCUUAUCUGCAAACACUCCACCAAGUGCCCCAAUAAACAUCUCCAUCCUGGUCCUCUCAUCAGGAACCAGAUAUGACACAUGAUAGCUCAGGGAAGUGAAUCUCUCCUGGAACUCUAUAACACCUUCAUCAUCCCUCUUCUUCAUAUUUAGGAAAUCCGACUGAAUUCUGCUGCGGUGGGCAGGACUGAAAUACUGCCCCAAGAAAAACGUCUUAAACUGCUCCUACGACAUAUUCAGAGCAUCCUCAACAUUCCUGCUAGCGAGCGACCACCAGUGAUGUGCUGAAUCAUCCAGGAAAGUCACUGCCAUCUUCACCUUCCUUUCUUCUGGCAAAUCUGUGCUCGCAAAAGCCUUUUCCAUUUUGUCUACCCAAAUAUAAGCAUCGAGGGGUCCCUUGGCACCCUUGAACUCUCUUGCUCCAGCCUCAUAAACCUCUCUCCUCUUCACUGUAUGAGGGUGUGGAGCUCGAUCCAUAACAUCCCUCAGCAUAUUUCCAAUAUCAUCAACCAGUCCCCUGACCUCAUUGCCCUCAUCGACAUUGGUCGAAGUAGCCACACGGGGUUGCGGUGGGCGCCUAGGAGGCAUAGUACCUGAGGAAGAAGAAAUUCAGUAGUCCAUAAACAAGACUAACACAACAAUCACACAUACCCAAUAUCACAUAGCAUCAAAAGCAUAAAAUGCCAAUGAAUCCGCCGCGGUCGGAUCAUCACUCUAUAGACACUACGUGCUACUUAGGCAAAUAUGAUAGUGACAAGGAAGCAAGAAAAGGAAACCUAUAGCUCUGAUACCAACUGACACGACCCAUCCCGAAUUUCACCCUGAAACCCAGAGUAAGUCGUGCGGGGACCACCUCCAAGGAAAAUUUACUGAAAAGAUUGAGAAAAUCUCCCUUGAAAAUGGACAACCCUAACUCGAAAAUUCUAAAUUACACUCUUAAUACAACACGUCCAAACAUCACAUAAUUAUCCUUCAGAAAUUCUAAACAUAAUAUACAAUAAUCCCAAAGUAUUCAGAGCUACUAAACACUAGCGGAAGCAAGAAACACUAGUAGGUUAAACAGGUAACCUACUGAUGAAAACUAGAGGAAAUGCGGGUGACUAUGCCUCGCCUCCUACUAGAUCCAACCCGAACUCUGCAGACUGGGCAAUUUAAAACGAAAGGCCCAGGGGAAAACAUUUAAUAACGUUACAGUGAGUGGACAAAAAUAAAAUAAUAAAUAAAUUAUUUAUGUUUCCCCAAAUUAAUUUCUAAGGAGAAAAUCGAAUGCAUGCCGCAAGCGAUAAAACCUUUAUCUCAUAAAAUAUCGAGCCUCUUAGACUCUAAAAUAUAUGUAUGUAUUUACACUCGUCCAUACUCCCUAUAUAAAUUCAUGGGUCUAUAUAGGGCUACUACGCUCGCGUCCAACGCUCACGUCACGCCUUAAUGCGGUGCUACACUACGCCAUCAAGGUGGACAAACGGGUGUAUAAAUAUGUGUCCAUACCCCCUAUGUGAAUUAAACACUCAUAUAGGGCUACUACGCUCACGUUGGCCAUAAUGCGGCUAUAUGCUACGCCAUUAAGGUGGACAGACACAUAUGGCUAGCUAGCAUUUAUAUACAUACUCUCUCAUAAAUACAUAUUUAUAUCCACCGAAAAUCCCAUUUUCAGUAACUCUCCAAGAGAAAUAAAAAUCGUCAAAUUAAAAUGACGUUAAAAUAUUUCGCAACAUUAAUUGUUCAACCAUGAACUAUAGCAUGCAUUUAUUUAAAAUAAACGUCCACUCACAAAUUAGGCCUAAGCCUGAUGUCGAUCUGAGGCCUCGUCUGCUCGAGCCUCCUCACGUCCUAGCUCAAGAGGGAGUGAGCUGAUUGGAGGGGUUGCUACACGGGAGGAGGGCUACAAAACGAGCCAAGGAUCGCCGGUUUUGGUGGCCGGAGGAAGGAGUUCUGACGACCGGAAGUUCGGGGCAGUCUAACCUUUCGGGCGGCACCGCUCUCUCACGGCGGCGCUAGGGGGGCUGUCACCGGUCUAGAACGGUAGCUGGGUUGGAGACCGAUCGAUUGGGUCCGGUGCGGUGGUCUGGGGCGGCUGAACGGCGGCGGUCGGGCGGUCGGAAUUCAGGCAGGGAGAGGCUCGGGUGCGGGAGCGGGAGAGGAGAGAGAGAAUCGGGAGGGAGAGAGAAAUUUUUGGGCUUAGCCCAACCGGUUCCAUCCCACAUAUACCCAAUCCAAAUUUCAACACCCCAAUAAAAAUUACCUUUUACUAGCAAAAAUUUACUAUUUUUACCGUCGUCAUAUUUUCUCCCACGAAUAAUUCCCCGAAAUUAAUCGUCCCUUAAAAUAUCUCUAGGGACCAUUUAAACUAUUACCUCAAUGACAAGGACGGUAAAAUUCUUAUUAUAAUCAAGCUAGUAAAUAAGGUAAAAAUUUAAGGGUCGGGAUGUGACAGUACCGGUUCCAGCCCUAAGAACAUUCGUUUGAUGAUUGAUAAAUAAAAUUUGAGACACAAUCCUUGUUUUUUUUAAUAUUUAAGAGAAUAGUAUUCUUCAUGAUUCGAAUUAACUUUUCUUGAAAAUUGAUGUCCUUGAAAAUUAUUUCUUACAAUUUGAUCAAAAAAUGAAUGUCUAGUGACAUUUUAUAUGCAAAAUACAAAAAAUACAAAAAAUAAAGAAAAUUAAGAAAUCAAGGUCGGGAAUGGAGGUUUGCGUUAAAAAGAAAAAAUAAAAAAAUUAAAGAAUGGAAAUCGGGAAUGGAUGUUCACAUGCAAAAAGAAAAAAAAAAAUUGGAGAUAUAGUGAGUGAAUAAGAGGUAUAAAAACAAUGUUAUUUUAAAAAUUUGAAAGGAGGUCUAAUGAGAAAAUGUUUGUAUUUAAAAGUAAAAUGGAGGUAUAGAGAGGAUGAGAUGUAUACUGAGCAAAUUUGGAGGUCCCAAUAGCCGCACUCAAAGCAAAAUCCAUUUCAAUUUUGUCCACUCUCUCCGUAUAGGCUGUGUUACACUAUCACACUAUGUUCUUCCCAUGCAUCUUGGUGUUAUUGUAAAAACCCUACAAUAAGGUCCCUGCAAGAGCUACAUCUGAAAACGGAAAACCGAAUAUAAUCAAUCAGUUCAUUGGAGAUCAUGAAGAUCAUGGGAAUAGUCAUGGUGUUGGCAUGGUUUAAUUGUUU